rnacentral:lncRNA from 1 species
GGGGAGCGCAGACAGCAGCCUAGCCCGUCAGCAACAUGGCAGUAGGCCUCUUCUCCCCUUCUCAGUUUACAGCAGCGUGCCACACUUUCUCAGGCUCCUGUCCCCGUCGUCAGCACACCGAUUCAGAGGUAGAGGCUGACUUGCAGCUCGUGGACUCAGAGGAGGAAGCCUAAGAUCAAUCUCAAAAGCUGUUAUCACUGUUCUCAGCCAGCGAUGCAUAGGGGAAUUGUUUGCUCAUCUAUGUGUUAAAAUCUGGAGCUCUUAAUCAACGACUUCAACAAGGAUGAGAUCAAGCUGCAUCUGCGCUGCUCUGUCCACCAUAACAAUUUUGGAAUGCAUUAACUUUUAUCUGCCCAGGUUGAAUCCUUCAUUCCUCAUUCUCAUCCUUAUUUCUUGAUGUGGGGCGAGUCACUCUAGAUGAGUUGCUAACUUCAAAAGGCUUCAGUCUAACUAGAAGAAAUUUUCCUUAGGAAUAUUUUGUCAAUUUUGUGGUCAAUCGACUGGUGUUACAAUAAAAGCAAGAAAGUGAUGCAAGUUCUUUGGGAUAUAUGCAUCGGAAAAUAUAUGAACACUAUUGGCCCAAAAUCACAGGGCCCCACUAAAUUGUUGUCCAUUUGGCCUCAUGAUUUUAAUGACAAUCGUUCUACCAUGAAAUCUUUCUUCUGCUAGCAUUUCAACAGUACUGUGUGUUGUAGCCAUAUACAUCUGAAUCAUUGGAUAAUAAGAGUUUCCACGAUCCUUUAGAAAUUAGAAGUGUUAGCAAAACAAAGUGGAACUGAACUGAAGCUAUCUCCAUUAGUAUUGUCUACGUCUCCUUGACCUUUCAUGGGAAUCUGAUGUAACCAUCCUGCAACCUGCAAAUACUAUAAAUGAUAUGCAGAGAAGAUUUCAAUAUUACUUAUUACUGCCUUAGUACCAUGCCGUUCUUCUCUACAUAAAUCAUUUAUAAAGCUGUAGGAGGAGCUCAGCUUACAUAUCUGAAUAUCCAACUAAUUGCCUUACCACUAAUUAGUUGCCACGCUGCAACUACUGACAGUGGAUACUGACAUCAUAUUCUCUUGGUAGAGUUCAAAACAACAUGAAUCAAGCUGAUGAAAUUCAGUUUGUAUUUUUUUUCUUUUCCGACCAUGUAGUUUUUUAAACUGCUCUGGAGGUCCUCUCAUAUGUAAUUAAGCUCACACGCAAAUGUCCUUGUACGUACUAUAGAAUCAUAUGCUGACAAUAUUGAACUUUUCUAUUGUAGUAAGAAUAUCAAGCGUUGUUUUGUCAUUGGUGUUUCAGUUUGUCGGUUACAGACUUACAGGUAUAUCAUUCCAAUAUUCAUACUAUAGGAGUUGUUGUCAGGGAGUGCGAGAGGGGCAGCAGAGUGGCCAGCGAGGGGAGCACCGUCACGGGAGAUGUGUUCAUACAACGCAACGUCGAGGAGAUGUCGACGACCUCCGUGGAUGAGCGGUGGUUGUGAGAGUUUUCCGAGGAAGGCCCACUCGAUCAUGGAGUGGCUAUCGCUGCAGAAGGCGACGCUAGCAACAGAGACAGCCAUCCAUUUGUGCCACCAUCAAUAACAACGUUGUAACAAGCAUGGCUCUGCACUGGUGAGUAGAACUCUUCCUCCAAAUCAAAUCCAACUAUUGGAUUAAGAUGUUCUAAAAUUUGUUGCCUCACUGCCUCAUCUGUGUCCAUAUCUCUGUUGGGAAUUUGCAGGUUGCUGAAGCAGUAGAGUGGCUUAUGUCAUGUAGGCAACUGGAGGCUACAAGGAUCCGUAUGUAAACAUGGUAUGUGAAAUUUGUUCAACACAGGAAUGGAAAUGCCAAUUUACAAAAUAUAAUAUGUAUGUUUGGUUGAUGAUUACUUGGGGUAGCCAAAUAAAACUUGGAACCAGUAUCAGUGUGGCUAUGAAAAUAAUCGGAAAUCAAUUAUUAAAUCUCCUUUAUAGGCUUUUGCUAAAGAGAGAAACUGAGAGAUACUAAUAUCCUGGUUUCAUUGAAGCUUAUUUGUCGUCUUGAAUCCCGAUUUGGACAAGAACUCCUCCAUGAUCCUUGAAUACCUGUAAAGCAGCAUUGUGCAUUGCUAUUGGAUGACGCCGUGGAUUGUGGGCGUAGAGUGGAGGUUGCAUCACAUGCUCAACGUUGUGUCAAAGGACUUGAAUAGGCCACAGGGAUCUGGUGGUGUUCAUAGUGGAUGGGAUGUCAUAAGUUUUUUC